rnacentral:rRNA from 1 species
UGCGUGAGCGCACAAAACACAUAAACCGUGAGUAAUUUUAGUCGAAACUUGAAAAAAAAAUACAAAACUUUCAACAACGGAUCUCUUGGUUCUCGCAUCGAUGAAGAGCGCAGCGAAAUGCGAUACCUAGUGUGAAUUGCAGCCAUCGUGAAUCAUCGAGUUCUUGAACGCACAUUGCGCCCGUCGGUAUUCCGGCGGGCAUGCCUGUCUGAGCGUCGUUUCCUUCUUGGAACUUUUGUUAAAGAAAGAUCCAGAGCUGGCCGUGCCACUGGCCCGGCCGAAAAGAAACGUUGCGGACGAAGCGAACUACAUCGGGACGCUUUGGCCGCCGAGCGAAAAUAUCAUUGAGCUCGACCUCAGAUCAGGUAGGAGUACCCGCUGAACUUAAGCAUAUCAAUAAG